GGACGAACGCUGGCGGCGUGCUUAACACAUGCAAGUCGAACGGAAAGGCCCUGCUUUUGUGGGGUGCUCGAGUGGCGAACGGGUGAGUAACACGUGAGUAACCUGCCCUUGACUUUGGGAUAACUUCUGGAAACUGGGGCUAAUACCGGAUAGGAGCUCCUGCUGCAUGGUGGGGGUUGGAAAGUUUCGGCGGUUGGGGAUGGACUCGCGGCUUAUCAGCUUGUUGGUGGGGUAGUGGCUUACCAAGGCUUUGACGGGUAGCCGGCCUGAGAGGGUGACCGGCCACAUUGGGACUGAGAUACGGCCCAGACUCCUACGGGAGGCAGCAGUGGGGAAUAUUGCACAAUGGGCGGAAGCCUGAUGCAGCAACGCCGCGUGCGGGAUGACGGCCUUCGGGUUGUAAACCGCUUUCGCCUGUGACGAAGCGUGAGUGACGGUAAUGGGUAAAGAAGCACCGGCUAACUACGUGCCAGCAGCCGCGGUGAUACGUAGGGUGCGAGCGUUGUCCGGAUUUAUUGGGCGUAAAGGGCUCGUAGGUGGUUGAUCGCGUCGGAAGUGUAAUCUUGGGGCUUAACCCUGAGCGUGCUUUCGAUACGGGUUGACUUGAGGAAGGUAGGGGAGAAUGGAAUUCCUGGUGGAGCGGUGGAAUGCGCAGAUAUCAGGAGGAACACCAGUGGCGAAGGCGGUUCUCUGGGCCUUUCCUGACGCUGAGGAGCGAAAGCGUGGGGAGCGAACAGGCUUAGAUACCCUGGUAGUCCACGCUGUAAACGGUGGGUACUAGGUGUGGGGUCCAUUCCACGGGUUCCGUGCCGUAGCUAACGCUUUAAGUACCCCGCCUGGGGAGUACGGCCGCAAGGCUAAAACUCAAAGGAAUUGACGGGGCCCCGCACAAGCGGCGGAGCAUGCGGAUUAAUUCGAUGCAACGCGUAGAACCUUACCUGGGUUUGACAUGGAUCGGGAGUGCUCAGAGAUGGGUGUGCCUCUUUUGGGGUCGGUUCACAGGUGGUGCAUGGCUGUCGUCAGCUCGUGUCGUGAGAUGUUGGGUUAAGUCCCGCAACGAGCGCAACCCUUGUUCACUGUUGCCAGCACGUUAUGGUGGGGACUCAGUGGAGACCGCCGGGGUCAACUCGGAGGAAGGUGGGGAUGACGUCAAGUCAUCAUGCCCCUUAUGUCCAGGGCUUCACGCAUGCUACAAUGGCUGGUACAGAGAGUGGCGAGCCUGUGAGGGUGAGCGAAUCUCGGAAAGCCGGUCUCAGUUCGGAUUGGGGUCUGCAACUCGACCCCAUGAAGUCGGAGUCGCUAGUAAUCGCAGAUCAGCAACGCUGCGGUGAAUACGUUCCCGGGGCUUGUACACACCGCCCGUCAAGUCAUGAAAGUUGGUAACACCCGAAGCCGGUGGCCUAACCGUUGUGGGGGAGCCGUCGAAGGU
rnacentral:rRNA from 1 species